CCCAACCUAAGACGAUACAUGCUAAGUGAAAAAACCUGGAGGGAACAAAAUUACAAUCCCAGAACCAAAGGAAACAAACAGACCAAAAACCAGCUCAAGUCUCAAGAGAAAAACUGCAAACAAACAAAAGAAACAUGUUGAAUACACAAAUACGUACAACAAUUUCAAACCAGGAUUUAAAAGAAAGCAAUGAAAUCCUCAUUGCGCCAUGAACCUUGUUUGGCCAACAAAUCUGCAACUGAGUUGUAUUCUCGUGGGGAGAAGCAAAAGGUAAGAGGUGGAAGGGACUCAAUUCUGGUAACAUUGGAGUUAAGCACCUAUUAUAGUCGCCAAGGAGUGGAUUCUACUUUAAGAACCCAAGAAACAGCAUUCUUUGUAUCUGAUCCAACCAAAAUAGAAUUAGAUGAGUCAAAAGAAAAAAAAUUGGCACAAGAUAACUCCAAA
rnacentral:misc_RNA from 1 species